rnacentral:tRNA from 1 species
GCCUGGCUGGCUCAGUCAGCAGAGCGUGAGACUCUUGAUCUCAGGGUCAUGAGUUCGAGCCCCAUGUUGGUUG